rnacentral:rRNA from 1 species
UACGUAGGAGGCGAGCGUUGUCCGGAAUCACUGGGUGUAAAGCGCGUGUAGGCGGCCUGCCAAGUCUGCUGUGAAAGCGCCGGGCUUAACCGGGCGAGGUCGGCGGAAACUGGCGGGCUGGAGGUCGGUAGAGGGGGGUGGAAUUCCCGGUGUAGUGGUGAAAUGCGUAGAGAUCGGGAGGAACACCAGUGGCGAAGGCGGCCCCCUGGGCCGGGCCUGACGCUGAGACGCGAAGGCGCGGGGAGCGAACGGG